rnacentral:rRNA from 1 species
UAAGUAUAAGCAAUUAUACCGCGAAACUGCGAAUGGCUCAUUAUAUAAGUUAUCGUUUAUUUGAUAAUACUUUACUACUUGGAUAACCGUGGUAAUUCUAGAGCUAAUACAUGCUAAAAAUCCCGACUUCGGAAGGGNUGUAUUUAUUAGAUUAAAAACCAAUGCCCUCUNGGGCUCUCUGGUGAAUCAUAAUAACUAGUCGAAUCGACAGGCCUUGUGCNNGCGAUGGCUCAUUCAAAUUUCUUCCCUAUCAACUUUCGAUGUUUGGGUAUUGGCCAAACAUGGUGGCAACGGGUAACGGAGGGUUAGGGCUCGACCCCGGAGAAGGAGCCUGAGAAACGGCUACUACAUCCAAGGAAGGCAGCAGGCGCGCAAAUUACCCAAUCCCGACACGGGGAGGUAGUGACAAUAAAUACUGAUACAGGGCUCUUUUGGGUCUUGUAAUCGGAAUGAGUACAAUUUAAAUCCCUUAACGAGGAACAAUUGGAGGGCAAGUNUGGUGCCAGCAGCCGCGGUAAUUCCAGCUCCAAUAGCGUAUAUUAAAGUUGUUGUGGUUAAAAAGCUCGUAGUUGAACCUUGGGCCUGGCUGGCNGGUCCGNCUCACCGCGUGUACUGGUCCGGCCGGGCCUUUCCCUCUGUGGAACCCCAUGCCCUUCACUGGGUGUGGCGGGGAAACAGGACUUUUACUUUGAAAAAAUUAGAGUGCUCAAGGCAGGCCUAUGCUCGAAUACAUUAGCAUGGAAUAAUAAAAUAGGACGUGUGGUUCUAUUUUGUUGGUUUCUAGGACCGCCGUAAUGAUUAAUAGGGACAGUCGGGGGCAUCAGUAUUCAAUUGUCAGAGGUGAAAUUCUUGGAUUUAUUGAAGACUAACUACUGCGAAAGCAUUUGCCAAGGAUGUUUUCAUUAAUCAGGAACGAAAGUUAGGGGAUCGAAGACGAUCAGAUACGGUCGUAGUCUUAACCAUAAACUAUGCCGACUAGGGAUCGGACGAUGUUACAUUUU